UUCAGGGAGGGUGUGCCCCUCCCCCCACCAGCAACAGUUAACUGCCUCCAAGUCCUCUGGGGUAGACCUGGCCAUUCCUAGAAGCAGCUUAGCCUGCCUCACCUGGAGCACCUGGAUCACCACCACACAGGCUUUGUGGGAUCGGAGUCCCUUGAAUUCACACAUGCUGUCCCAGUAUUGGUUUUCCAGACUGUCAGCAAUGCUUCUUAAAGGCAGGGGAUUCUCUGUUCCUGAGAAAACAGUUCCUGGGCAAGCAAGGGCAGAUAGAAAGCAGCAACAAGACCUGUGUCGACGGCCCUUGACCGCCUCUGUUUUAGGACGGAGGUUGUUGCCUAAAAUUGGGAGCAACUGGGAGCGUGAAGUGAUCAUUUCAUUGCCAUUCCUGUUCAUGAACAAGUAGAGGCCCAGGCAAGUUUCUGCUUCUGUUGUGGCUUGUGUUCGUCAAGGUGCAGGGAGUCUUUCUUUUACCAGUCUCUACUGCCCUCUUGUGGUCUUCAGCUCCUGGAGUGAUUGCACCCUGAUGAAGAUCUUUGCCUGGAGAUUUGCCCAAGGUUCAAGCAGAGUCCAGAUAAAUAAUGCAAAGUGGUGUGAAUGAAGUGGUCCAUCUUCCCAGACAGACCUUUACAGAGAUGACAGGAACCACAGACAUGAGAGAGCCAAGUGUCUGCCGGUGUCAGUGGGAGUUUUGAAAUGGCCAGAUGCUUAUAGGAAACUGCAAAGCUCAAAUGAUAAUAGAGCAUUUGUGUCUUCUGAAUGUUCUAAAACCUUCUUCCACACUCAGGCACCGCAAACCACACAACUAAGAGUGGAUCGGAAGAGGCGGGGGAGGCAGUGGGCAUUGUCAGGGACCCCCGAGGGGGCUGAGAGGCAUGGUGUGGGGGAAUGGUGAGAGAUGGUGGUAGUUUUCACACGAGGGCAGGAUUCAAAUGAAAAAGUCAACUCUGGGGUGUUCAGCUAGAAUUGAAGAGCCAGAAGAAGCCGGACCAGAAGAAUCCAAGCAAGUGCCCAAACUGUCCCAGCCAGGCUUGACACUGAAGCUCGCUUUCCUCCGUGGUGGUUUAGAUAGGAAAGAUGAACAGAGAGCUGUACCGUGCCACCCCCACCCUGGUCCUCCCCAAAAGGGGCUCGAACCUGGGUUUUUUUACACAGAGGUCUUUGUUUCUGGUUUUUUUUUUUUUUUUUUUUAUGAGUUUGCCUCUGAAAUGCUGUUCAAUCCACUUGUUCAAUCAGUGAAAUGUAAGGAUUUUCUAAACUCUCUCUAAUUGACAGAAACAAGCAUUUUGAAAAGGAGAGCCAACAACCAUUAAAUUUAGCACAGAACUUCCACAGUGUUCUGUUUUAGUCCAUGUGCAUGGAACAUUUUAAAACCAUCCUGGUUUUUAAAGCCCAGGCAUCCAAUUAUAGCUCUGUGAGACCCCUGCUUCCAGGAUUGGCUGCCAAGGCACUGUUCUGUGUUCUCUGAAGUCUGUGGCCAUCAGCUCACAGGGAAGGAGUGAUGCUGAGCAUGGUUGCUGGACCCUCCCAGUCACAGACUGGAAUGCCACAUAUGGUAUCCUUACUUUCUC
rnacentral:lncRNA from 1 species